CCUACGGGAGGCAGCAGUGGGGGAUAUUGGACAAUGGGGGGAACCCUGAUCCAGCGACGCCGCGUGAGUGAAGAAGUAUUUCGGGAUGUAAAGCUCUGUCAGCAGGGAAGAAAGAAAUGACGGUACCUGACCAAGCAGCCCGGGCUAACUACGUGCCAGCAGCCGCGGUAAUACGUAGGGGGCAAGCAUUAUCCGGAAUUACUGGGUGUAAAGGGGGGGUAGACGGUUAAGUAAGUCUGGAGUGAAAGGCCGGGGCCCAACCCCGGGACUGCACUGAAAACUAUUGAACUUGAGUGCAGGAGAGGUAAGCGGAAUUCCUAGUGUAGCGGUGAAAUGCGUAGAUAUUAGGAGGAACACCAGUGGCGAAGGCGGCUUACUGGACUGUAACUGACGUUGAGGCUCGAAAGCGUGGGGAGCAAACAGGAUUAGAUACCCCGGUAGUC
rnacentral:rRNA from 1 species